UACAGAGGGUGCGAGCGUUGUUCGGAAUUACUGGGCGUAAAGCGUGCGCAGGCGGUUUCUUAAGUCAGAUGUGAAAGCCCCGGGCUUAACCUGGGAACUGCGUUUGAAACUGGGAGACUUGAGUGUGGCAGAGGGGGGUGGAAUUCCACGUGUAGCAGUGAAAUGCGUUGAUAUCGAUAGGAACUCCGGUGGCGAAGGCGGCAUACUGGACCACAUCUGACGCUGAGGCGCGAAAGCCAGGGGAGCAAACGGG
rnacentral:rRNA from 1 species